rnacentral:lncRNA from 1 species
AUGGAGGUGAGGUGGGUCCGAUCCCACCGUUACCCUGCUGUGCACGUGCACGCGGAUGGGGGCCCUGUGGCUGGAGAGCAGAUGGCAGAGUACAGAGGGAGGACGGCGCUGGUGAGCGACGCCAUCGACGAGGGCAGACUGACCCUGCAGAUACGCAGCGCCAGGCCUUCGGAUGACGGGCAGUACCGCUGCAUUUUUGAAAAAGAUGGUGUCUACCAGGAGGCCAGUUUGGAUCUAAAGGUGGUAGGUCUGGGUUCCUCCCCGCUCAUCACCUUGGAGGCGGCGCGGGCGGGAGAAGCACAGCUGACCUGCUCCUCGGGUGGGUGGUUCCCGCGGCCCCUCGCUCGGUGGAGGGACGCGGAAGGGAAGACACUGCCACCAUCUUCCGAGAACCUGACUCAAGGCAGCCACGGGCUGUUCCACGUGGAGACAUUUCUGUCCCUCAUGAACAUCACCGCUGCGAAGGUGACUUGUUCCAUCAGCAGCCCCCUUCUGGGUGAGGAGAGAACGGCGACUUUUUCCCUCUCAGAGCCCCAGAUGACUUUUUUGUGCUCCCGCAAAAUACUGCCGAUUUGGGGAUUGCUUCUUGCUGCGGCUGUAGGCCUGAUCAGGAGGAGCCGAGGCAAAGGUAGGUUGGUAAGCAGCGUGGGCGCUGUGCCGCGGACUGAGCCGAGCACUCCCCCAGCCCCCUUGUCAGCACUCAGCCCGGCCCGGGGCUUUGGGCGAGUGCCCGGUCAUGACAGCCCACGCUCGCGCUGUCAUUGAGGCUCAGUGCCCAGGGGCCACAGUUUACAGUGGUAAUAGAAACAAAAGGACUAACAGACAAUAAUUUGAUUCCACUGCCCAUCUCCAAGUGAUCUAGUCCAGGGAGAGGAAGAAAAAGGUCAGUGGCAUAGCCGUCCUUGUUUUGCAGCUGAGAGAUAAGAAUUCACUGAGGUUCUGUUGGCAUGAACGUUUCACUCCCAUCUUUAAAAAUGUGGGCACCCACUUACUGGUGCUUCCUGCUCGGCCAGUGGAGGACCCCCCGUGUUGACAGAGAGGCUGUUUGUGCCCUCCGUAAAGGCUGCCACUUUAAUUUCUUAUGUCAGGGAAAAUGUGUUUGCCUGUUUGGAUGUUAACAGCAUAAAAUUAACACUUUUCAAUAUUGAUUAAUUGUCAGAAUGGAUUUUCUUUCUUCGCAGUGAAUGUGACACAGGAUCCAAACACAGGAAACUGAUCCUUCCCAAGGGAAGCGAGGGUGUGUCCCCUGGACGUUCGGCAGCCAGGAAGUUCGUCCCCAAGAGACGUGACUGCUUGCUCUGUGUGCUGGGCCGGGAGGGGCUCAAGGCAGGGAGGCGGCCCUGCGCG